rnacentral:misc_RNA from 1 species
ACCACAGCGCAACCGCCAUCGCAAAUACGAUAACCAAAGGCCGCCGUUUCUACCACUGCCCCAACUACCGCUGACGUAGGCGUUGCAGCGCUCUUAUCCGCGAGCGUUUCUCCCUCAUCCCGCUCUCCUUCUCUUUGCGCCUCGUUCCAACCUCCUUGGUCAUGUCUCCACAGACCGCUUCAGCGCCCAAGGCGCCGGCUCCGCCCCUCCCGCUCUGGCAGACGCUCUGCGUGUCAGGCUUCGCCGGCAUGUUUGGGUGGUGCUUCACGCACCCCUUCGAGAUGUGGAAAAACACGGUGAUGAUGGCGGCGCCCGGGACAAGCCAGCUGGAUUCCUUAAAGGCGACGGCGCGGAAGGGCUUCUACACGGGUCUGUCUAGUGGCCUGAUGCGCCAGUUGAUCUACGCAACCGCCCGUCUGGGCUUCUACCCGAGUUUUCGCGAUGGCAUUCUGGAGGGUGAGGCUGCGCUGGGACUGAAGAAGUCCGCGGACCCUGCUGGCGCGACGCCGUUUGACCGCGCUCUCGCCGGCGCGUCUGCUGGCGUCUUUGCCUCCUUCCUGUCCUCUCCGGUGGAGGUGUGCCUGGUUCUGCAGACGACGAGCAAAGGCAAGGAGAGGCUGUCCAUGCUGCAGGCCUGCAACGGGGUUCUGAAGAGUCGCGGCGUGACUGGGCUGUGGAGCGGCUUUGGCGCUCUGGCGUCGCGUGCGGCGCUGGUGGGCGUGUCGCAGGUGGCGGUGCACGACCAGGUUCUGACGAUGUUGCGCAAGCGCAACGUGAAGCGCGCGGACCCGCUCGGCGACAACGUCGUCGUCAACAUCGCGAGUGUGAUCACGGCCUUGUUCUACAGCGCUGUGACGAUGCCAGUGGAGGUGGCGCGUGUGCGGAUGUCGGCGGAGGCGAAGCUCAGCGCUGGUGCGGAGAGGAGGUACCACAACGUUGUGCAGUGCAUCGGCCGCAUCUUCAAGGAGGAGGGUUUACUGGCCAUGUACGGCGCCUUCGCGCCUUACUUCUGUCGGUGCGCUAUACACACAAUGCUGUGCUUCUUUGUGAUCGAGUACGGCACGCGCACGAUGAGGGAGCGCCGCUAGGGCAUGGCGGGGGCUGUGGCCGCGUAUGUCUAGGGAAAGGGAUCGAUGCAGGAGUACCCGCUGUGCUACGUGUGGGAGGAAAAGUAAGGGCGAAAAGGUUGAGGGUGAUGAGAUGCCGCUGGCCAGCGGAGCGGGAGGCUGGGGUGUGUCGGAUGUGUGGUGUAUGUGUGGCGUUCGGUGUCGCUCACUCGGGUGGGGGUUCCGCUUCAUCGCACUGGCUGGUAGCCUCACCAUGACGAUGGCGCUUGUCUUUGUGUGGCGUUCUCCCCACCCCGAAAGCUGUGGGGGCUAAGCGCACAUGUGCUUCUUCGCCAGCCAUCAUGCACGUGCCCAUGAGCGGAAGAAGAGUCGUUUCUGUUCGCGGCUCCUCUGUUGGACGACACAUACUCACAGAUACAGUCAGACCUAUGUGCACAGAUAACGGCGUACUGCGUUCGUGACCCGAGACGUGCGAACCGACGGAGCAGUAUCGAAACGUUUUUUUUUUCUUUUUAUUUUGUUUGGAGUCUUCUGAGCGCAGCGCAGUGAUGGAGGUAAGACUCUCAACGCCGGCAUAUACACAGACACACACUGUGAUCCACAGAAGUGCUUGUGUAUGUGUGUAGUGGAGAUGGGCCCCCAAAAUGCAAUGGAGGCGGCUUGGGCAGGCAGAGAAGUAAUUUCAUAUGAGCACGCGCAGAUCACGCGCAUCUAUGUGUUAGCGCUUUCCCUUCGCACCUAUGCGUAUCUACAUGCCGAAGAAGAGCAGAAAAGCACUUUUUUUCCUUUGUACUGCGCGCAGCAGGGGGAAGGCUCAUGCGUGGUUCAGUGUGCGUGCUGCAUGUCGGUACCUUGCAUGGAUCUGUAUUGAGCCACACCCGCCGUGACUCGAUGACCACCUUUUCCGAGCAUUUUUCUUUUUUUUCUUUUCGUUCUUUUAUUCCUUCUCUGUCCGCGUGCACGCACUGCUGUUGCACGCUGAGUUGACCUUAAUGUUUCUUUCGCCUCUUGCUCACUCCCGCGUGUGCGCCUGCGUCUCUCUGCCUGUCUGAAUGUGUGCACGCACACAUUCAGACAGGCAUGCGACUUAACAUCGAUGCCGGAUGCCGUUUCUGGUGUUUCUGAGCCGUUCUCUUGCUUCGUCUCUCGUACUCCGUACAUGUAUAUGUAUACCUAAAUACACACAUGUAUAUGCGUACACAUGUAUGCAUAUAUAUAUGUCGAUAUCGAUAGCUAGGGGAGGGAAACGCAGAGCUAGCAACCAAAAAGACAAAAAAAACAGAAAACCCUGAACAAUGUUGCGCACGGUAGGCUGAACGGCGAACCUGCUGAUUUGAUGGAGGUUGUGGGCUGGCACCGCUCUGUGUGCGCGCUUCUUUCGCGUUUAUGCGUAGGCCACCACCCUCCACGCUCUAGUCGUCUUGUACUUUCCCUCUCUUACUGGACACAUUAUUCGUUUGUAUUGAUUCUGCACGUAUCGCUCAAAUAUGUCUUCCCCCCUGCAUGUUGCUGAUGAUGUACGUGCUCAGCAACUUGAAAACGUUCUAUUAUUAUUGUUAUUCUUCUCUCUCAGACGAUGGUGCGUGUGCUCAUUAGGCGACCGCCUGACUGCCUUUCUCUCCACCACUUUACGCCCCUCCUCCCUCUUAAGGCAAUUAGUUGGGGUGGUGAAGGCCAAGGUGUGCAUAUGGGCGACAGAGGAAGAGAGCAAAACAGGGGGGCGGAGGCGGGGGAGGGGAGUGCUGACAAUGAGGUGAGAGUAUUGGAUGGAGAAGGUACUGAGAGCCAGAUACAUGGAAACGAAGCGCAGAACGCACUACAGCAAACAACGCAGACAAAAUCGGCACGCGCACACGCACGCACACAACUCUCGGCCAAAGAAGGGGCUGAGGCGCGGCAGCUUAUCGUCUGCGAAAUAAAAAAAAAUACACCAAAGUAAUGAGGCAGCAAGGACACAGAAGACGAAGAAGAGUGUGCAGAGUGCGUAUGAGGACGCAUUCGAAGACGACUUCUCUUCUGCACUCUUUCUGCGCGCCGGGUAUGUCCGUGGACUCGCUAUGUGACUUCGCGCACUCUGACGCGCCCCUCCCCUCCCCUCCCCUCCCCCUGUAGCUCUGCUCCAGGCUGCAAC